rnacentral:rRNA from 1 species
UACGAGGGGGGCGAGCGUUGUUCGGAAUUAUUGGGCGUAAAGGGUGCGUAGGCGGUUUGGUAAGUCUUGUGUGAAAUCUUCGGGCUCAACUCGAAGUCUGCACGAGAAACUGCCGGGCUUGAGUAUGGGAGAGGUGAGUGGAAUUCCCGGUGUAGCGGUGAAAUGCGUAGAGAUGUGGAGGAACACCAGUGGCGAAGGCGACUCUUUGGCCUGUAACUGACGCUGAGGCGCGAAAGCGUGGGGAGCAAACAGG